AUUGAACGCUGGCGGCAUGCCUUACACAUGCAAGUCGAACGGUAACGGGCCUUCGGGUGCCGACGAGUGGCGAACGGGUGCGUAAUACAUCGGAACGUGCCCGAUCGUGGGGGAUAACGAGGCGAAAGCUUUGCUAAUACCGCAUACGAUCUACGGAUGAAAGCAGGGGACCGCAAGGCCUUGCGCGGACGGAGCGGCCGAUGGCAGAUUAGGUAGUUGGUGGGAUAAAAGCUUACCAAGCCGACGAUCUGUAGCUGGUCUGAGAGGAUGAUCAGCCACACUGGGACUGAGACACGGCCCAGACUCCUACGGGAGGCAGCAGUGGGGAAUUUUAGACAAUGGGCGCAAGCCUGAUCCAGCCAUGCCGCGUGUAGGAUGAAGGCCUUCGGGUUGUAAACUGCUUUUGUACGGAACGAAAAGCCUUCUUUUAAUACAGGAGGGUCAUGACGGUACCGUAAGAAUAAGCACCGGCUAACUACGUG
rnacentral:rRNA from 1 species